GACAGGUGGUGCAUGGUUGUCGUCAGCUCGUGUCGUGAGAUGUUGGGUUAAGUCCCGCAACGAGCGCAACCCUUAUCCUUAGUAGCCAGCACGUGAAGGUGGGCACUCUAGGGAGACUGCCAGGGAUAACCUGGAGGAAGGUGGGGAUGACGUCAAAUCAUCAUGCCCCUUAUGAUUUGGGCUACACACGUGCUACAAUGGCGUAAACAAAGGGAAGCGAGACAGUGAUGUGGAGCAAAUCCCAAAAAUAACGUCCCAGUUCGGACUGUAGUCUGCAACCCGACUACACGAAGCUGGAAUCGCUAGUAAUCGCGAAUCAGAAUGUCGCGGUGAAUACGUUCCCGGGUCUUGUACACACCGCCCGUCACACCAUG
rnacentral:rRNA from 1 species